rnacentral:lncRNA from 13 species
GUGGACAAUGAAUGGCUAGAGGGAGAGAAAGACAACAGAAAGAUCAUUAAGGAGGCCAUGAUUCUAACUCACCUGCAGAAACUUGUGCAGAAAAGAACAGGGGAGAAGAAGACAUGCAUCUUCAUAUUAUCGAUUUAGAACCAUUUCUUAUUAACAGUGUGAUGAACAUUUGUGGAGCAAAGAGUUAACGUGUGUCAAGUGCAGGUGAAAGGAACGGAAGUUACUGAUUUUGGCUGUUUCCAGUCCUUCGUGUUGAUCCAUAUUUCUAUGGGAUAUACUCCUUCUGCCCUAUGGACUGGACUUCCUUUAACAUUCUUAAACUGCUGAUCUGCUGGUGAUAAA